CCCUUAGAUGUCCUGGGCAGCACGCGUGCUACAAUGAUGCAUUCAACGAGUCUUGCCUUAACCGAAAGGUUCGGGUAAACUUUUGAAAUUGCAUCUUGUCGGGGCUUGAUCAUUGUAAUUUUUGAUCACAAACAAGGAAUUCCUUGUAAAUGUGGGUCAUCAACUUGCAUUGAAUACGUCCCUGCCCUUUGUACACACCGCCCGUCGCUUCUACCGAUGAAUGAUCCGGUGAACACUCUGGACUUGUUGUCUGUCGGAGCAAUCCAAAGACGAUAGGGAAGUUGUGUAAACCUUAUCAUUUAGAGGAAGAAGAAGUCGUAACA
rnacentral:rRNA from 1 species